rnacentral:rRNA from 1 species
UCGCCUGUUUAUCAAAAACAUCGCUAGAAAAAUAACUUCUAGUCGAAUCUGCCCAGUGAAUCAAUUUCAACGGCCGCAGUAUUUUGACUGUGCUAAGGUAGCAUAAUCAUUAGUUCUUUAAAUGGGAACUCGUAUGAACGAUCUGACGAGAAACCUUCUGUUUCAAUAGUACUUUAAACUUAAGAGAGAGGUAAAAACCCCUCUCGCACCCAAGAGGACGACAAGACCCUAUAAAACUUCACCUUCAUAAGAGUCUGAAAUCUAAGAAUAACCCUCCUCUCGACAAGGUUAUGCUGGGGCGGCAAGUCUUAACACCAACAAAUCUAUCUCUAACAACCUGAUUGAUCUUAAUAAACAUUUAUAUGUAACAGAGAACAAGUUACUUUAGGGAUAACAGCGCUAUACUUCUUAAGAGCCCAUAUCGACAGAAGUGCUUGCGACCUCGAUGUUGAAUUGAAGAACCUUAGUGGAGCAGCCCUUACUAAAAGGAAGUCUGUUCGACUUAAAAUCCUUCACAUGAUCUGAGUUCCAAACCGGA